UACGUAGGGACCAAGCGUUGUUCGGAUUUACUGGGCGUAAAGGGCGCGUAGGCGGCAAUUUCAAGUCAGUUGUGAAAUCUCCGAGCUUAACUCGGAACGGUCAACUGAUACUGUUUUGCUAGAGUCCGGAAGAGGCGAGUGGAAUUCCUGGUGUAGCGGUGGAAUGCGCAGAUAUCAGGAGGAACACCAAUAGCGAAGGCAGCUCGCUGGGACGGUACUGACGCUGAGACGCGAAAAGCGUGGGGGAGCGAACAGG
rnacentral:rRNA from 1 species